UUUACUUUGAUGGCUUCGGGUGCCCAGAUACGGGGUAAACGGGAAGUCCGGUGAAAGUCCGGCGCUGGCCCGCAACCGUAACCGGGGACGAAAGCCGCUAGACCCACUAGGGCGACAGGCCACUGGGGCUUAAGGCCAAAAGGCCGAAGGCCCUGGGAAGGCGCGGUGAGUAGGAUGAUCCGGAAGCCGGGAGACCGGCCCGAAGCCUUUUAAGGAA
rnacentral:ncRNA from 2 species